CCCUCCCCACAAACGCAUCACGCGAGCCGGCGGGGGGUCCACUGGGGGGGAGCCUCCCUGCGGGGCCGCCCCCGCUCACGCUCCGGCGCACAGCAUAGCGGCCUCUGAACGGACUGUGCAACUGCACUUGCGUCGCACACCGAUGCGUACGUGACCGCUGGCUGGAUCUCAAGCACCAACACAUGCAGUGUGCGCAGCAGGUCCAACAAGUCCCAAGAUAGCGCUCACGUAAGCAAGCUCAUGCGACGUACGCACACGCACGCAUGUAUGUAUGUAUGCGCUUGGAUUUCAAGCCAAAGUAUUCUCCCCCAUGCAUGUCCAACAAGUCCGUCAAUAGAUAUAAUUCAUGUCAUGUAUGUAGCCUUUGAUUUGACCCCGUUAUUAUUUAAGCCUAAACAUAAUUAUGC
rnacentral:misc_RNA from 1 species